rnacentral:rRNA from 1 species
AUUGAACGCUGGCGGCAUGCCUUACACAUGCAAGUCGAACGGCAGCACGGGGCAACCUGGUGGCGAGUGGCGAACGGGUGAGUAAUGCAUCGGAACGUACCUUUCAGUGGGGGAUAACGUAGCGAAAGUUACGCUAAUACCGCAUAUUCUGUGAGCAGGAAAGCAGGGGAUCGCAAGACCUUGCGCUGAUUGAGCGGCCGAUGUCAGAUUAGCUAGUUGGUGAGGUAAAGGCUCACCAAGGCGACGAUCUGUAGCGGGUCUGAGAGGAUGAUCGGCCACACUGGAACUGAGACACGGUCCAGACUCCUACGGGGGGCAGCAGUGGGGAAUUUUGGACAAUGGGGGCAACCCUGAUCCAGCCAUGCCGCGUGAGUGAAGAAGGCCUUCGGGUUGUAAAGCGCUUUCGGCCGGGAAGAAAUCGCACGGGCUAAUACCCUGUGUGGAUGACGGUACCGGAAUAAGAAGCACCGGCUAACUACGUGCCAGCCGCCGCUGUAAAAC